CAAGAGCGACAGGGGCGUCGGUGGAAGCCGGCUGAGAAGCACCCUUCGAACCUGAUCCGGAUCAUACCGGCGGAGGGAGUCACUCGGGUCCGCUU
rnacentral:ncRNA from 1 species